rnacentral:rRNA from 1 species
AUUGAACGCUGGCGGCAGGCCUAACACAUGCAAGUCGAGCGAGCGGCGGACGGGUGAGUAAUGUCUGGGGAUCUGCCUGAUGGAGGGGGAUAACUACUGGAAACGGUAGCUAAUACCGCAUACCAUCAGAUGAGCCCAAGUGGGAUUAGGUAGGUGGUGGGGUAACGGCUCACCAAGGCGACGAUCCCUAGCUGGGCUGAGAGGAUGACCAGCCACACUGGAAUUGAGACACGGUCCAGACUCCUACGGGAGGCAGCAGUGGGGAAUAUUGCGCAAUGGGGGCAACCCUUAGGCAGCCAGGCCGCGUGAAUGAAGAAGGCCUUCGGGUUGUAAAGUUCUUUCGGUAGCGAGGCGUUACCUACAGAAGAAGCACCGGCUAACUCCGUGCCAGCAGCCGCGGUAAUUC